rnacentral:rRNA from 1 species
CCUACCGGGAGGCAGCAGUAAGGAAUAUUGGUCAAUGGGCGCAAGCCUGAUCCAGCCAUGCCGCGUGAAGGAUUAAGGUCCUCUGGAUUGUAAACUUCUUUUAUAAGGGACGAAAAAAGGGAAUUCUUUCUCACUUGACGGUACCUUAUGAAUAAGCACCGGCUAACUCCGUGCCAGCAGCCGCGGUAAU